rnacentral:rRNA from 1 species
CGACAGGUUGAUAGCUCUUUCUUGAUUUGGUGGGUGGUGGUGCAUGGCCGUUCUUAGUUGGUGGAGUGAUUUGUCUGGUUAAUUCCGAUAACGAACGAGACUCAGGCUUACUAACUAGUGAACAGAUUACUUUGUCUGUGACACUUCUUAGAGGGACAAACGGUGUUCAGCCGUAUGAAAUUGAGCAAUAACAGGUCUGUGAUGCCCA